UCCGAAUUGGUGUAGGGGUUAACAUUGCCGCCUCUCAGCGUCACAUGAGCUUGUGGUUUAACGUAAUCUGGAACGCGGCAGCCCGGGGUUCGAUUCCCCGAUUCGGAA